AGAGUUUGAUCCUGGCUCAGGACGAACGCUGGCGGCGUGCCUAAUACAUGCAAGUCGAGCGAACUUGCGGGAGCUUGCUCCCAAAAGUUAGCGGCGGACGGGUGAGUAACACGUGGGCAACCUGCCUGUAAGACUGGGAUAACUUCGGGAAACCGGAGCUAAUACCGGAUAAUUCUUUUCCUCACAUGUGGAAAAACUGAAAGAUGGCUUCGGCUAUCACUUACAGAUGGGCCCGCGGCGCAUUAGCUAGUUGGUGAGGUAACGGCUCACCAAGGCGACGAUGCGUAGCCGACCUGAGAGGGUGAUCGGCCACACUGGGACUGAGACACGGCCCAGACUCCUACGGGAGGCAGCAGUAGGGAAUCUUCCGCAAUGGACGAAAGUCUGACGGAGCAACGCCGCGUGAGUGAUGAAGGUUUUCGGAUCGUAAAACUCUGUUGUUAGGGAAGAACAAGUACCGUUCGAAUAGGGCGGUACCUUGACGGUACCUAACCAGAAAGCCACGGCUAACUACGUGCCAGCAGCCGCGGUAAUACGUAGGUGGCAAGCGUUGUCCGGAAUUAUUGGGCGUAAAGCGCGCGCAGGCGGUCUUUUAAGUCUGAUGUGAAAGCCCCCGGCUCAACCGGGGAGGGUCAUUGGAAACUGGGAGACUUGAGUGCAGAAGAGGAGAGUGGAAUUCCACGUGUAGCGGUGAAAUGCGUAGAGAUGUGGAGGAACACCAGUGGCGAAGGCGACUCUCUGGUCUGUAACUGACGCUGAGGCGCGAAAGCGUGGGGAGCGAACAGGAUUAGAUACCCUGGUAGUCCACGCCGUAAACGAUGAGUGCUAAGUGUUAGAGGGUUUCCGCCCUUUAGUGCUGCAGCAAACGCAUUAAGCACUCCGCCUGGGGAGUACGGCCGCAAGGCUGAAACUCAAAGGAAUUGACGGGGGCCCGCACAAGCGGUGGAGCAUGUGGUUUAAUUCGAAGCAACGCGAAGAACCUUACCAGGUCUUGACAUCCUCUGACAAUCCUAGAGAUAGGACUUUCCCCUUCGGGGGACAGAGUGACAGGUGGUGCAUGGUUGUCGUCAGCUCGUGUCGUGAGAUGUUGGGUUAAGUCCCGCAACGAGCGCAACCCUUGAUCUUAGUUGCCAGCAUUCAGUUGGGCACUCUAAGGUGACUGCCGGUGACAAACCGGAGGAAGGUGGGGAUGACGUCAAAUCAUCAUGCCCCUUAUGACCUGGGCUACACACGUGCUACAAUGGAUGGUACAAAGGGCUGCAAGACCGCGAGGUUUAGCCAAUCCCAUAAAACCAUUCUCAGUUCGGAUUGCAGGCUGCAACUCGCCUGCAUGAAGCCGGAAUCGCUAGUAAUCGCGGAUCAGCAUGCCGCGGUGAAUACGUUCCCGGGCCUUGUACACACCGCCCGUCACACCACGAGAGUUUGUAACACCCGAAGUCGGUGGGGUAACCGUAAGGAGCCAGCCGCCUAAGGUGGGACAGAUGAUUGGGGUGAAGUCGUAACAAGGUAGCCGU
rnacentral:rRNA from 2 species